ensembl:lncRNA
GUGAGGAGAACUCUUUCCAGCUGGGCAGUUCCCUCUUGUGCUGAGAAAUGCUAGCUUGGGGGAUGGGAUGAGGCAGGCAAAAUGAAGCUGUCUUCCUUCUCUUCUUGUGUGGUUAUUCUCAGGGUUUUUUGUUCUGCUGUGUUGCUGGAAUUUCUUAAGUGGGCCCCAGAGCUUUCCCAGAGCUGUUUUUGUUCCUGGAUAGCUGUCUAAUUGUUGAUCUUUGUGGGGAGACAGAGGCUGGGGUCUCCUACUCUGCCAUUUUGGUGACUUCACCUCAGAAAUGCUUUAGUUGUAUGCACAAUGCUCUUUAACAUGUCUUUGUAAAUUUAUUCCUGGUUUUUUAAUUUUUUUGAUAAUCAUAAAUUUAAGUUACUAAAAAAAUUUAUUUUUCUUAAUGUUUGUUGCUGGUGUAUAUAAAUAUAAUUUUUUUUCUGUGUUGAUCCUGUAUUCAGUAACUUUGCUAUACUCGCUAAUUCAAUAAUCUAUCUAUAGCUUAUUUGUGUUUUCUAGGUAUACAUCAUAUUAUUUGCAAAUAACAAAAAUUUUAUUUCUUCUUUUCCUACAUUUAUAAAUUUUAUUUUAUUUAUUUUUGCCUCGCUGCAUGGCCUAAGACCUGAGUAAAAUGUUUAUUAGAAGUGAUGACAGCAGGCAUUAUUGUCUUAUUUCUAAUCUCAGAGGGAAAGCAUUUGGCAUUUCACUAUUAACCAUCCUUGUGAGCGUGAAGUGGUAUCUCAUUGUGGUUUUGGUUUGCGCUUCCCCAGCAAUUGGAUAUAAUUAGCCCUGAGCUAACAUCUGCUGCCAAUCCUCCUCUUUUUGCUGAGAAAGACUGGCUCUGAGCUAACAUCCGUGCCCAUCUUCCUCUACUUUAUGUGGAAUGCCUGCCACAGCAUGGCUCAACGGGCGGUCUGUAUGUUCACAACCGGGAUUCAAACCAGCGUACCCUGGGCUGCCGAAGCAGAACGUGCAAACUUAACCACUGUGCCACCAGACGAUCCCAACCCUCCUGCUUUUUUUUGGGUUUAAAUUUCAUCUAUUUUUCUAAUUCUUGAAAUGGAUGCUUAGAUAAUUGAUUUUCAGCAUUUUUCCUUUCUUAUAUACAUUUAAAGAUAUGACUAUCCAUUAAAGCAUGGUUUAACUGCAACUUACAAUUUUCAAAGUAUAAUAUUUUAAUAAUUAUUAGUUCACAUAUUUUUUGUUAUGAUAUUUUCUUUAACAUAUACUUGACUUAUAGUGCAUUUCUUAAUUUCUCUUUAUUUCUUAAUAUGUAUUAAUUUCCAAAUAUGUGGUGAUCUUUAGUUAUCUAUCUCUUGUUAAUUUCUCACUUAAUUGCACUGUGGUACUGGACAUAUUAUAUACCAUAUCAAUCUUUUGAAAGUUUUUGAUAUUUAUUUCAUAGCAUAGCUUAUAAUCAAUUUUUUGCAAAUGUUUUAUACACAGUUGACAGUAAUAUGUAUUCUAUAGCUAUUGAGUGCAAUCUAGUAUGUCAUAUUUGUUAAUUGCAUUGUUCCAAUCUUGUAUCUUUUAUAUUUUUCAUCUACUUAAUCUAUCAGUUAAUGAGAAAAGUUGUUAAAAUGCUCAGUGUGAUUGUCGAUUUGUCUAUUUCUCCUUAGAGUUCUAUCACUUUUAGCUUUAUAUAUUUUGAGGAUUUGUAAUCAGGUGCAUACACAUUUAAAAUUUUUAUCUUCCUAGGGAAUUAAAUCAUUGUGAAAGUUUCCUCUUAAUCCAGAGUAAUGGUUUCUACAUUUUGUCUACUUUGUCUGAUAUUAAUAUAGUUACAACCACUUUCUUUUGGCUAAUGUUUGUGUUGUGUAUUUAUUUUGCGUCCCUUUAUUAUAAACCUUUUAAUCCUGUUUCAGUUAUCCAUCCAUGAGUAACAAACCACCCCAAACCUUAGUGACUUAAAAACAGCAAUGUGUUCUCUAUCUUGGUUCUGUGGUUGAUUUGGCUCAGCUCAGCAGUUUUCAUUUAGGAGGGGAUCGCUCAUGUAGCUGCAGACUUACGGUAGCAGUUGCUGGAAUCAUGUGAGGGCUUGAUUUGGCUGGAUAGC